rnacentral:rRNA from 1 species
AACGGGCCCGCAAGGGUGCCGACGAGUGGCGGACGGGUGAGGAAUACAUCGGAAUUUGCCCAGUCGUGGGGGAUAACGUAGGGAAACUUACGCUAAUACCGCAUACGACCGGAAGGUGAAAGCGGGGGAUCGCAAGACCUCGCGCGAGUGGAUGAGCCGAUGUCGGAUUAGCUAGUUGGUGGGGUAAAGGCCCACCAAGGCGACGAUCCGUAGCUGGUCUGAGAGGAUGAUCAGCCACACUGGGACUGAGACACGGCCCAGACUCCUGCGGGAGGCAGCAGUGGGGAAUAUUGGACAAUGGGGGCAACCCUGAUCCAGCAAUGCCGCGUGUGUGAAGAAGGCCUUCGGGUUGUAAAGCACUUUUGUCCGGAACGAAACGUGUCGGGUGAAUAUCCCGGCAAACUGACGGUACCGGAAGAAUCAGCACCGGCUAACUUCGUGCCAGCAGCCGCGGUAAUACGAAGGGUGCAAGCGUUACUCGGAAUUACUGGGCGUAAAGCGUGCGUAGGUGGUUUUUUAAGUCCGUUGUGAAAGCCCUGGGCUCAACCUGGGAAUGGCAGUGGAUACUGGAAAGCUAGAGUGCGGUAGAGGGUAGUGGAAUUCCCGGUGUAGCAGUGAAAUGCGUAGAGAUCGGGAGGAACACCAGUGGCGAAGGCGGCUACCUGGACCAGCACUGACACUGAGGCACGAAAGCGUGGGGAGCAAACAGGAUUAGAUACCCUGGUAGUCCACGCCCUAAACGAUGCGAACUGGACGUUGGGUGCAACUUGGCACUCAGUGUCGAAGCUAACGCGUUAA